rnacentral:rRNA from 1 species
AUUGAACGCUGGCGGCAGGCCUAACACAUGCAAGUCGAACGAGUGGCGGACGGGUGAGUAAUGUCUGGGAAACUGCCUGAUGGAGGGGGAUAACUACUGGAAACGGUAGCUAAUACCGCAUACCAUCGGAUGUGCCCAGAUGGGAAUAGCUUGUUGGUGGGGUAACGGCUCACCAAGGCGACGAUCCCGAGCUGGUCUGAGAGGAUGACCAGCCACACUGAAACUGAGACACAGUCCAGACUCCUACGGGAGGCAGCAGUGGGGAAGAUUGCACAAUGGGCGCAAGCCUGAUGCAGCCAUGCCGCGUGUAUGAAGAAGGCCUUCGGGUUGUAAAGCACUUUAAGUUGGGAGGCGUUACCCGCAGAAGAAGCACCGGCUAACUCCGUGCCAGCAGCCGGGGUAAUUC